rnacentral:lncRNA from 10 species
ACAGGGUAAAGAGAGGACAAGCAGAGGCUUGGAGGAAAGCAGACCUCAGAAGCCUGGAGGAAAGAGAGAAGCUGCCUAAACCUUGGCCAAGCCAAAGCAGACGGCCUCACAAGAUCAAGAUCCUCUCUUGCUUCUCUAGAGAAUGUGCUCCAUCAAAAAGAGAGAAUAAACCAAGAAGAGGAAGACAGAGGAUCCGGAAACAGGGAUGAUGGUGCACGGAAGUCCCAGGAUGACAGCUGUGCAUCAGGCCUUCAGCAGCCAGGAUGGGAGCAGAAGGAUGGGGAGCUCUGGGAGUGUCUCCAAGAAAGAAAAAGAAACUGAUCAAAUAUCUAAUUUUUAAAACAUAUUGAGGGGAA